UAAUACGUAGGGGGCGAGCGUUGUCCGGAUUUAUUGGGCGUAAAGAGCUCGUAGGCGGCUUGGCAAGUCGGGUGUGAAACCUCCAGGCUCAACCUGGAGACGCCACUAGAUACUGCUAUGGCUAGAGUCCGGUAGGGGACCACGGAAUUCCUGGUGUAGCGGUGAAAUGCGCAGAUAUCAGGAGGAACACCGGUGGCGAAGGCGGUGGUCUGGGCCGGCACUGACGCUGAGGAGCGAAAGCGUGGGUAGCAAACAGGAUUAGAUACCCUGGUAGUCCACGCCGUAAACGUUGGGCACUAGGUGUGGGGCCUUAUCAACGGGUUCCGUGCCGUAGCUAACGCAUUAAGUGCCCCGCCUGGGGAGUACGGCCGCAAGGCU
rnacentral:rRNA from 1 species